UACGUAGGCAGCAAGCGUUGUUCGGAGUUACUGGGCGUAAAGGGUGCGUAGGCGGCCCUGUAAGUAUGGUGUGAAAUCUCCCGGCUUAACUGGGAGGGUGCGCUAUAGACUGCGGGGCUCGAGUGUGGAAGAGGAAAGUGGAAUUCCUGGUGUAGCGGUGAAAUGCGUAGAUAUCAGGAGGAACACCGGUGGUGUAAACGGCUUUCUGGACCAUAACUGACGCUGAGGCACGAAAGCGUGGGUAGCAAACAGG
rnacentral:rRNA from 1 species